CCUGGUGGUGCACGUCCCCAACCUUAUGUGGAUUUCCUAAAUUCUGCAAAAAAGGUUUGGAAGCUGAUCAAUCAAUACUGGAACUCCCUCUUCUCCAGAAGAGACAUCCUGGCCUCCAUGCAGAGGAAUGUGUGGAUGGACAUAUAUUUAAGGAAGACACUAAACCAGAAAAUACUACAUUACACCCUCUUAAAAGACUUCUAAGAUUGUUGUCAUGCCUACCACUGACAUUCAGAUGAUGUGUAUUGUUGAUUGUGAUUUCAUGUUUGGACCUGGUGAAGGAGUUUGAAGUCUCCAGAGCAGCAAAGAGAGUGGGGAGUAGAACUCAUCAUCUUUAGGUCACUCAUCAUCG
rnacentral:lncRNA from 1 species